rnacentral:rRNA from 1 species
UACAGAGGUCUCAAGCGUUGUUCGGAUUCAUUGGGCGUAAAGGGUGCGUAGGCGGCGCGGUAAGUCGGGCGUGAAAUCUCCAGGCUUAACCUGGAAAAGUCGUUCGAUACUGUUGAGCUAGAGUGUGGAAGAGGCUACUGGAAUUCCGUGUGUAGCGGUGAAAUGCGUAGAUAUCAGGAGGAACACCGGUGGUGUAGACGGCUUUCUGGACCGUAACUGACGCUGAGACACGAAAGCGUGGGUAGCAAACAGG